UACGUAGGGCGCAAGCGUUGUCCGGAAUUAUUGGGCGUAAAGAGCUCGUAGGCGGCUUGUCACGUCGGAUGUGAAAGCCCGGGGCUUAACCCCGGGUCUGCAUUCGAUACGGGCUAGCUAGAGUGUGGUAGGGGAGAUCGGAAUUCCUGGUGUAGCGGUGAAAUGCGCAGAUAUCGGGAGGAACACCGGUGGCGAAGGCGGUUCUCUGGGCCUGUACUGACGCUGAGGAGCGAAAGCGUGGGGAGCGAACAGG
rnacentral:rRNA from 1 species